rnacentral:lncRNA from 1 species
GACAUGCAAGUUCAUAUGCUGACCCCUCUUCCUACGUAAGUAUUUACAUUCUUGAUUCAGUGUGUGUCUACUGCGUUCCUAUUUUAUAUACCAGGAAAUGUGUGUUCAGUGAAACAAAACGGUUUAUCUUUGAACAAAACAGUUUAUCUGUGCCAUAUGUUUGUACAUAAUGGAAAAAAAUGAAAUUUAAAUGCAUACAAAAUUGCAACUGUGGUAGGUGUUAUGAAGAGGGCAUAUGUUGUUUUGAAGGAACCUGAUCAUUCUGAAGGGUCAGCAAAGAAGUCAAGUUUCAGCAGAGAGUCAAAGUAUGAUAAGCUAAGUUCUAGAAACAGAGAAGAGGAAAUAACUUACCAUUAGAGGAGAAAAGUCUAUGCAAAUGUCUUGUGUUGGAAGAAAACUUCCUGUGAAGGAAAGACUGAGCAGAAGUCAAUAUCUGGUGCACAUAGAGAGGGACACAUCAGGGUGCAGAACAACCCUGCCACAGACAGUCAGGGUCAUACCAUGAAGGACUUUUAGGCCGUAUUAAGGAUUUAGGUCUUUAUUCCAAGAGCAUUUAGAAGGCUCCUGAUGAAUGUAUUUGAAGCCAAGAUCAGAUUUGUAUUUUGAGGGACUAUCUCUGAGGAUAUGCUUACUCACACAAAAGCAUUUUCACAUAGAUAAGUGCACCUACAUAGGUUCAUACGGACACUUGUGUGCAUUUUCUUUGAAACUAUGUACUUAAUAGAAGUAUUCACUGGAAGACUCUGCUUCUCAUAACACACGCCUUGUGUAUUCCUCUGCAUGGUCUAUAUAAGCCCAGUUAGCACUGGGAGGCUGGGAAUGCCCUCACUGCCUCACUGGGCACCAUUGGGCCUAAGCUAGUCCUUGGGGCAAGAACUAGGGAAGUGAUGGAUUUGAAGGGAGCUCUCUGCCUUUGGAGCUGCCUCUGUGUGUUGUUGCUUGGCCUCAUGAGUGUGCCUCCAGCCCUGUUCCUCCUCCCCUUGGCUCAGAGCAUCAACGACAAGGUGGGGUUUCUUCCAGAACACCAUCAUUGACUAUUCUUGGCCUGGGCAAGGAAGGGAGGAUGGGCAGGUCAAGUUGCAUAAAGAUUGCCUUGUGCCCUCCCAGAAUUGUAAGCAAAGCCUCUGGCGCUCUGAGCCUGCAGUGCUCUUUGCACAGAAUCCUCAUGAGAACUAAACACAAGGAACAAUGGGGGAGACCAGAGCUCUUCAGGACCUGAUGAGGACUAUGGUACGACUAGACGUAGCGCAUCCCAACUGCUCCCUGCAAUGUGCCUCUGGAUGGGGGAAAUAGCGAAAGCCAGUAGGAAAGCCUAUUUAAGGCAAGAUGUCCCUCUGUGUUCCCUGCUGCCUUGGUGCAGUAAGCCCGUGUACACACAUAUUUACACAUUAGCAAAUUUUCCUCCGGUGGGUGUAGCAUCUCACGGCAGAGGAAGUAGCAAGUCAUUUAUCAGCCCCAACACCCUGCAUUACUUACCCUUCAAUUAACUAGAACUAUACUUGCUUACACUUGGCUACUGUUUGCCAGCAAAGCCAACAAGGGCCUUGGACAGAGCCAGUGUCAGAGCUCCAGAGAAAUUAAUAGAAACAUUCAUGCAGAAUUUAAGGCUCACCUUGAGCCUUAUAUCCUGAGGCCAUAAAGAUGUUCCCAAGGGAUUUUUUGGAUAUUCUAAAGACUCCUACCCACUGACAUUUUCUGCUUUCCAAUAUGAGCUUAGAAAAUGUUUUCUUCCACAAUUAAGAGAAAUGCCAUAGUGUUUUCAUUUCACUGCAGGCUGUGCUGGGUACAUGUUUCUCACCCCAAACCUCACCCCCACCAUAUGCUUUUAUGCAAUCCUGACAGCAAGCUACCAGAUCCAUCAGGCUGCUCAAGACUGUGGUGCUUAGGGAGACACUGUACUAACAAACGCUUGGGCUGAUCCAGCAUUUGGCACUUUACAAAGGGCUUUUAUAUUUGCCACCAUGUCUAAUCCUCACAAUGACCUUAAAGUCAGCAUGGUUCUUCCCAUUUCACAGACUGGGGUUAGAAGAUCUGCCUAAAGACACAGAGCUAAUAUGGGGCAUUAGUUUGAAUUUGGGUCUCCAUGCUCAUACUCAAAGCAGCACGAGUGUCACACUCUGCUACCCUCCUAAGACCUGCGGCUCUGCUUUCUGCUACAUUUUAUCUCAUAAAGUCAGAACUAAUACUCCCAGCACUGAAGCCACAGGUGCCAAAAGGCAGAUAAGCAAUUGUCUGCUCCAGAGAAUGUCCCCAGGAUGCUUUUGAUGUUGACAAGCUACAAGCUUGGGUGAACGCAUGCCUGGGGGUGGGAAACUGAGAGCUCUAUCCACUGUGGCUUAGAGCAAAAGGUCCACCCUUCGAGUUCCUUCUCCAGUCAUUAGAUGCACCCUUUCCAAGGCAAGACUCCGGGCUUCUGCCUCCUGCUUCUCAUACCUGUCCUGCUGACAGCUCAGUCUCUCCUGAGGCUGUCCUUGUUCACUUUGCCCAAUUCCUCUUGGAUCAGGAUGUUUUUUUGUGGGAAGACCCAAUGUGAUUUGCCCCAACCCCACACCCAUUGGAGACUGCCCAGACAGUUCUAAGGGCCAAGUUCCACACCUCAGUAAAAAUUGCAGGCUCCGGGAAGUAAUUCAACUUCUUGAAAAC